GUCCUUUUGAUUANUAANUUUAAGGUCUAACCUGCCCAAUGNANNAUUANUUUAAUGGCUGCGGNNUAUUUUGACUGUACGAAGGUAGCAUAAUAAUUAGUUUUUUAAUUAAAAGCUGGUAUGAAUGGUUGAACGAGAAAAUUACUGUCUCAAGUUNAAANUUUUUAGAAUUUUAUUUUUAAGUUAAAAAGCUUAAAUAUUUUUAAAAGACGAGAAGACCCUAUAGAGUUUNUAUAAUUAAUUUANAUUNNUUNAUNUUUUAGNAAAANUNNNUAUUAAUUNAAAUAAAUUAUUUUAUUGGGGUGAUAGAUAUAUUUAAUAAACUUUAUUNUAAANUUUUUACAUAAAUUUAUGAAUUAUUGAUCCAUUAUUNUAUGAUUAUCAGAUAAAAUUACCUUAGGGAUAACAGCGUAAUCUUUUUAAAGAGUUCUUAUCGAAAAAAAGGAUUGCGACCUCGAUGUUGGAUUAAAAUUAAUAUUUGGUGUAGAAGCUNAANAUUAUUAGGUCUGUUCGACCUUUAAAAUUUUACAUGAUCUGAGUUUAAACCGGUAUGAGCCAGGUUGGUUUCUAUCUUUAAAUA
rnacentral:rRNA from 1 species